GCUUCGAUAUUGAUAGCUCAGUUGGUGAGAGUAGUGUGCUGAUAAUGCCAAGGUUACAGGUUCGAUCCCUGUCUGGGGUG